rnacentral:rRNA from 1 species
GGAAGGUCACGGGGAACGGUUAGUCGAAAGGCGAAGCUGUGAACCUAAGCCCAGUGAAUGGCGGCCGUAACUAUAACGGUCCUAAGGUAGCGAAAUUCCUUGUCGGUAAGUUCCGACCUGCACGAAUGGCGUAACGACUUCCCCGCUGUCUCAACCAUAGACCCGGCGAAAUUGAAGUACGAGUAAAGAUGCUCGUUAGCUGCGGAAGGACGGUAAGACCCCAUGGACCUUCACUAUAACUUGGUGUUGAGUCUUGAAUUGCGUUGUGUAGGAUAGGUGGGAGGCUUGGAAGCAUUGGCGCCAGCCAGUGUGGAGCCAUCGUUGAAAUACCACCCUGCGUACUUCGGGACUCUAACCUCGGCCCAUCAUCUGGGUCAGGAACAGCGCCAGGCGGGUAGUUUGACUGGGGCGGUCGCCUCCUAAAAUGUAACGGAGGCGCCCAAAGGUUCCCUCAGGCUGGUUGGCAAUCAGCCGUCGAGUGCAAUGACACAAGGGAGCUUGACUGCGAGACUGACAGGUCAAGCAGGUGCGAAAGCAGGGC